rnacentral:misc_RNA from 1 species
CAGAGUUUACAAACUCCCAAACCCCUGUGAACAUUACCUAUCUUGUUGCCUUCGGCAGGAUCAGGCCCCGGGGGCCCGUAACGCCGGAAGGCGCCUGCCGAGGGAUCAACUAAACUCUUGCUACUUAUUGUACUUCUGAGUAACUAUAAAAAGUAAUC